AAAAGCAAAAAAAAAAAAUAAUAAAUUUGCCCCGGAGACCGUAUUUUUUUUUUUGUUUUUUUUUUGAAAAUUACCCCUAGUAUAGCCCUCAUGCAUUCAUUUUUGUCUGAAGUCGAAUUCAAAUGCAUGCAUGCUGAGUCUGCACCUCAGGACGAUCAAAAGCAUGAAAUUGACUGUCAAUCUGAUUUUUGUCUCUCCUUCACCUUUACUUCAU
rnacentral:ribozyme from 11 species